rnacentral:rRNA from 1 species
AGAGUUUGAUCCUGGCUCAGAGCGAACGCUGGCGGCAGGCUUAACACAUGCAAGUCGAGCGGGCGUAGCAAUACGUCAGCGGCAGACGGGUGAGUAACGCGUGGGAACGUACCUUUUGGUUCGGAACAACCAGGGAAACUUGUGCUAAUACCGGAUAAGCCCUUACGGGGAAAGAUUUAUCGCCGAAAGAUCGGCCCGCGUCUGAUUAGCUAGUUGGUGAGGUAACGGCUCACCAAGGCGACGAUCAGUAGCUGGUCUGAGAGGAUGAUCAGCCACAUUGGGACUGAGAACGGCCCAAACUCCUACGGGAGGCAGCAGGGGGAAUAUUGGACAAUGGGCGCAAGCCUGAUCCAGCCAUGCCGCGUGAGUGAUGAAGGCCCUAGGGUUGUAAAGCUCUUUUGUGCGGGAAGAUAAUGACGGUACCGCAAGAAUAAGCCCCGGCUAACUUCGUGCCAGCAGCCGCGGUAAUUCA